rnacentral:rRNA from 1 species
UGGCGGACGGGUGAGUAACGCGUGGGUAACCUGCCCUGUACAGGGGGAUAACAGUUAGAAAUGACUGCUAACACCGCAUAAGCGCACGGUAAGGCAUCUUAGUGUGUGAAAAUAUUAAUAGGUACAGGAUGGGCCCGCGUCUGAUUAGCCAGUUGGCAGGGUAACGGCCUACCAAAGCGACGAUCAGUAGCCGGCUUGAGAGAGUGAACGGCCACAUUGGGACUGAGACACGGACCAAACUCCUACGGAAGGCAGCAG